AACCCCUACUUGUUAGUUGCCAUCAUUCAGUUGGGCGACUCUAGCGAGACUGCCGGUAAUAAACCGGAGGAAGGUGGGGAGUGACGUCAAAUCAUCAUGCCCUUACUGACCUGGGCUACACACGUGCUACAAUGGUUGGUACAACGAGUUGCGAGUCGGUGACGGCGAGCUAAUCUCUUAAAGCCAAUCUCAGUUCGGAUUGUAGGCUGCAACUCGCCUACAUGAAGUCGGAAUCGCUAGUAAUCGCGGAUCAGCACGCCGCGGUCGAAUACGUUCCGGGCCUU
rnacentral:rRNA from 1 species